UUUCCGUAGGUGAACCUGCGGAAGGAUCAUUACCGAAAGAUCAGAGGCGCUCUUUUUAGAGGUCUCGUCCCACAUCUUUCAAACACCUGUGCACUUGGAGUUGACCCGAUUUUCGGGUCCUUGCUCGAGACUCCGCGUUCCCCCUUUUUUUAGGGACUGCGUGAGAGUGUCGGGGACUCUGCCCCUUUUACACGCCAUCUGAGGAAUUGAGGAUGUUUACAAAUUCGAAAAUGAAACAACUUUCAACAACGGAUCUCUUGGCUCUCGCAUCGAUGAAGAACGCAGC
rnacentral:misc_RNA from 1 species